UCAUUGACCGACGGCGGCGAUGGCUAGGGUUACCGGAAUGUGAGGCGGAAGUUUUCAGCAGAGGGGAUUUGGUUCGACACGGCAGCGGCGACGGUGGAGUUUAGGGUUCCGAUGACCCUUUUGGUACUCCGACGAGAAGCUCCAGGCCUGAAUGUCAUUUUCUCAGCUAGAAGUUAGGCGACAUGCAACCCUCCGACGAAGUUCAGUUAACUUCUCGCCAAAGAAAACAGGGACACCAACGAAAAAUGUGAAUGUGUUCACUGUGCCAAUCAGUGAAGAGAUAACUACCCGGAAAGAAGCAGCUGGAUCAAUCCCUAAAAUCAUUGUAAGGCAAUCAAUUUUGUUGAACUUAAGGUCCCUCGGUGAUGUGUUCGGUUAUUAUGUAUCUUUAUUUUAUUACACCUUCAGUUUGAUCUAAAAAAAUACAUAAAAAAUAUCGUUCUGUAGCUCUAGGGGUUGAAGAGAUUAAAGAAAGUAGCUCCAAAUUGGAUUUUCCUGUUGAGGGGGGUUUUAUGUCUGAAAAUCGCAACAGCCCUUAAGCUGGUUUAUGCAAAAACACGAAUGCGAAAAA